UGAGGAAUAUUGGUCAAUGGACGAGAGUCUGAACCAGCCAAGUAGCGUGCAGGAUGACGGCCCUAUGGGUUGUAAACUGCUUUUGUUUGGGAAUAAUCGACAUUACGUGUAAUGUUUUGCAUGUACCAUUCGAAUAAGGACCGGCUAAUUCCGUGCCAGCAGCCGCGGUAAUACGGAAGGUCCAGGCGUUAUCCGGAUUUAUUGGGUUUAAAGGGAGUGUAGGCGGUUGGUUAAGCGUGUUGUGAAAUAUACCGGCUCAACCGGUGGCUUGCAGCGCGAACUGGUCGACUUGAGUAUGCAGGAAGUAGGCGGAAUUCAUGGUGUAGCGAUGAAAUGCUUAGAUAUCAUGACGAACUCCGAUUGCGCAGGCAGCUUACUGUAGCAUAACUGACGCUGAUGCUCGAAAGUGCGGGUAUCAAACAGG
rnacentral:rRNA from 1 species